UAAAAAAGGAAAAAUCAUUCUAUACUCUAUACUCAGAGUAGUCACUCUAUAGCUACCUACGGCAAAGACAUACCUUUGGAAAGGUCGCUCUCAUCUCUUGACGAAUCGCAUAUGAAAGCUUCGGGGUAUAAGUCCACUGGUUGAGGUUAGAAAAAGAGAUGAAAAAUGUAAGGUCGUGAUAGAAAAGUCUAAAGCAUAUGAUAAAUGCCAAAAUUGAUUUUUUCCCUUGCCUAUAAUAUACUUCCUUUUGAAGCAGUUUAGGAUUGUUAAAUUGUUUAGAAACCAAUUCAGAUUUAAAGCUAUAAACCUGCUCAGGAUUAUGUAAAUUAUGUAUUUCGUUAUUACAUUAUUAUUAUCUAUGUGUAUAUCUUCACUUUGAAGUUACACCCACGUGCCCUUCAUUCUUA